AUUGAACGCUGGCGGAAUGCUUUACACAUGCAAGUCGAACGGCAGCACGGACUUCGGUCUGGUGGCGAGUGGCGAACGGGUGAGUAAUACAUCGGAACGUGCCCGGACGUGGGGGAUAACUACUCGAAAGAGUGGCUAAUACCGCAUACGAUCCAAGGAUGAAAGCGGGGGAUCGCAAGACCUCGCGCGUUUGGAGCGGCCGAUGGCAGAUUAGGUAGUUGGUGAGGUAAAGGCUUACCAAGCCUGCGAUCUGUAGCUGGUCUGAGAGGAUGAUCAGCCACACUGGGACUGAGACACGGCCCAGACUCCUACGGGAGGCAGCAGUGGGGAAUUUUGGACAAUGGGCGAAAGCCUGAUCCAGCAAUGCCGCGUGCAGGAUGAAGG
rnacentral:rRNA from 1 species